rnacentral:rRNA from 1 species
AACGUACGCUGGCGGCACGCCUAACACAUGCAAGUCGAACGAAGUAGCAAUACUUAGUGGCAGACGGGUGAGUAACAUGUGGGUAUCUGCCCUUUGGCCUGGAAUAACACGAGGAAACUUGUGCUAAUACCGGAUAAGUCUUUACGGAGAAAGCUUUAUGCACCAUUGGAUGAGCCCGCACUUGAUUAGUUUGUUGGUAGGGUAAUGGCCUACCAAGACUAUGAUCAAUAGCUGAUUUGAGAGGAUGAUCAGCCACAUUGGGACUGAGACACGGCCCAAACUCCUACGGGAGGCAGCAGUGGGGAAUCUUGCACAAUGGAGGAAACUCUGAUGCAGCGAUGCCGCGUGAGUGAAGAAGGCCUUUGGGUUGUAAAGCUCUUUCGUCGGGGAAGAAAAUGACUGUACCCGAAUAAGAAGGUCCGGCUAACUUCGUGCCAGCAGCCGCGGUAAUACGAAGGGACCUAGCGUAGUUCGGAAUUACUGGGCUUAAAGAGUUCGUAGGUGGUUGAAAAAGUUGGUGGUGAAAUCCCAGAGCUUAACUCUGGAACUGCCAUCAAAACUUUUCAGCUAGAGUUUGAUAGAGGAAAGCAGAAUUUCUAGUGUAGAGGUGAAAUUCGUAGAUAUUAGAAAGAAUACCGAUUGCGAAGGCAGCUUUCUGGAUCAUUACUGACACUGAGGAACGAAAGCAUGGGUAGCGAAGAGGAUUAGAUACCCUCGUAGUCCAUGCCGUAAACGAUGUGUGUUAGACGUUGGAAAUUUAUUUUCAGUGUCGCAGCGAAAGCGAUAAACACACCGCCUGGGGAGUACGACCGCAAGGUUA